rnacentral:tRNA from 1 species
UGGGGUAUAGCAUAGCUCGGUUAAUGCGCUGGUUUUGGGAACCAGAGACCGUGGGUUCGAAUCCCACUACUCCAG